CGACUGCUAAUACCCAAUGUGCCGAGAGGUGAAAGAUUUAUCGUCUGAAGAUGGGCUCGCGGCUGAUUAGCUAGUUGGUAGUGUAAGGGACUACCAAGGCGACGAUCAGUAGCUGGUCUGAGAGGAUGAGCAGCCACACUGGAACUGAGAAACGGUCCAGACUCCUACGGGAGGCAGCAGUGGGGAAUUUUCCGCAAUGGGCGAAAGCCUGACGGAGCAAUACCGCGUGUGGGAGGAAGGCCCUUGGGUUGUAAACCACUUUUAUCAGGGAAGAAGAUCUGACGGUACCUGAUGAAUAAGCAUCGGCUAACUCCGUGCCAGCAGCCGCGGUAAUACGGAGGAUGCAAGCGUUAUCCGGAAUCAUUGGGCGUAAAGCGUCCGUAGGUGGUUUGUCAAGUCUGUCGUCAAAGAAUGGAGCUUAACUCCAUAAAGGCGGUGGAAACUGAGAGACUAGAGUUCGGUAGGGGUAGCGGGAAUUCCCAGUGUAGCGGUGAAAUGCGUAGAUAUUGGGAAGAACAUCGGUGGCGAAAGCGCGCUACUGGGCCGAAACUGACACUGAGGGACGAAAGCUAGGGUAGCGAAAGGGAUUAGAUACCCCUGUAGUC
rnacentral:rRNA from 1 species